CAGAAUGUAGUUUAAUGAAAAUAGUAAUUUUGGAUAUUACAGAUAGAAAAUUAUUCUGA
rnacentral:tRNA from 1 species